rnacentral:rRNA from 1 species
UACGUAGGGUGCAAGCGUUAUCCGGAAUUAUUGGGCGUAAAGAGCUCGUAGGCGGUUUGUCGCGUCUGCUGUGAAAACCGGAGGCUCAACCUCCGGCCUGCAGUGGGUACGGGCAGACUAGAGUGCGGUAGGGGAGAUUGGAAUUCCAGGUGUAGCGGUGAAAUGCGUAGAUAUCUGGAGGAACACCGGUGGCGAAGGCGGCAUCCUGGACCGACACUGACACUGAGGAGCGAAAGCCAGGGGAGCAAACGGG